AGAGACAGCAGUAGCCGCGGUAAUACAAAGGGUGCAAGCGUUAAUCGGAAUUAUUGGGCGUAAAGGGCGCGUAGGCGGUUUGACAAGUCUGAUGUGAAAUCUCUGGGCUCAACCCAGAGUCUGCAUCGGAAACUGUCGAGCUUGAGUAUGGGAGAGGUGAGUGGAAUUUCCGGUGUAGCGGUGAAAUGCGUAGAUAUCGGAAGGAACACCUGUGGCGAAAGCGGCUCACUGGACCAUUACUGACGCUGAGGCGCGAAAGCUAGGGGAGCAAACAGGAUUAGAUACCCGUGUAGUCCCUGUCUCUUUACA
rnacentral:rRNA from 1 species